AUCCAUCCCUUCUUUCUCUUUCUCCUCUUCUGCUUCAGUGACGGGGUAGUGGAGGUGUGUGUGGGAAAGGAAACCCUCCCUCCACACACAAACAGACCACUGCUCCUAAUCCCUUCCACCUGCCUCCAUCCCUCUCCCUUCUCCCAUAUUCAUUACUACCUCCAGCUCUGUCUCAUUCCUUCUCACCCCAUCCCAUCAUCCCAUCUAUCGCUCUAUUGCUCUGUCUUUCUCUCCAGCCCCCACACCCUUCUAACCCACACGCUCUGUGUCACCAACGUGGUGAAGAAAAUGAUCGGCGAACGAGCUGGAAAAGGUAGAGGAGAGGACAGAGAGAGGAGAAGGAGAGGAAGAGUGAACUCUGUCCAUUCAAAACAAUCCAGACUUUCCCGUUUCCCUGAUGGAUUAUCGCCGGCCCCGCGGACAGGAGGAGUGGAGGAGAAAGGAAAAAGACCACUAGAGGAAGAGUGCAGACAAGAAUAGAGCUCUGGACAGCCAGGUCGCCUAAAGGCAGUGUUAGUGUGUGUCCGUCCGGGGGAACCAAUCCAUUCUGCAGUGGAGCCACGGAGCACAGGGGAGCCUGAGGUACUACAUGUGUCUCAAUCAAACCAUGCCCCAGUUCACCUUUGCCUGUUUCUGUGGUCUGCACGGCUUCUGCCGGAGACGGACAAAGAAUAAAAAUAAGAAAAGGGAGGAACAAGUGGAGAUGGAGGAGAAACAGAGGGAUCAGGAG